CGCGAUUUACAUGAUCACGACAGCUUCUCGCGUCAUCUGAUUGGUUGAUUUGAGUCAGGUUCACGGGAUACUUUGGAUUCGAAAACUAUAUUCCCGCCCAGGAUUCUUCUCGUCUCUUCUUCAACGGCUGUUUUUAGAAGUCCUCCAAUCCACCAUCAGCGAGACCGAACUCCUCCAGUCCAGCUACAGAUAAGCUGCUGACCCAUUUCAGAGGAGGAACAUUGGCCAUGACCCAAAAGGACCACUAAAUCCUCAACUUUUUCUUGACACUUCUGCGGUGAGAAAAGUUCCCUAACAAAAAAAACGGUCAUAUCCAGAGAUGGCUUCAGCUUGCUCCGGAUUGGGAUGGAGGAAGAAGAGAACGGCUGAAGAGAAAGGAGAUGAUAAAUAGCUGUGCCUCUCAUUUAGAGCCUCAAUAGCUUAUGCGUGCGAACACAUACGAAAUACAUUCAUUUCCUAUUCAUGUGCACACACGCAGUUAUGUUUUAUGUUGUUUAUAAAGUUUAAUUUUGUCUUUCUUUGGUUUAUAACGUUUUC